rnacentral:other from 1 species
ACCUUUCUGCCUUGUUCGAAUCAGAGUCGCUUUUAUAAUCCAACACUUUUUAAAAGGGAAUUCAGCUCCGGCUGGGGACUGCAGACCUCCCACCAUUCGGUGGACGAAGGGAGCGAGAGACUUCCGGGCGGAUACCCACCUGCUUCGUGCGGGUUUUAUACACGACACGACGGCAAGGCGGUCUUUAA